rnacentral:rRNA from 1 species
CCUACGGGUGGCAGCAGUGAGGAAUAUUGGUCAAUGGGCGGAAGCCUGAACCAGCCAAGUAGCGUGCGGGAUGAAGGCACUACGGGUCGUAAACCGCUUUUGCCCGGGGAUAACACCCUCCACUUGUGGCGGUCUGCAGGUACCGUGCGAAUAAGCGCCGGCUAAUUCCGUGCCAGCAGCCGCGGUAAUACGGAGGAUUCGAGCGUUAUCCGGAUUUAUUGGGUUUAAAGGGUGCGUAGGCUGUCGGAUAAGUUAGCGGGUAAAUGUCGGGGCUUAACCCCGUGCCUGCCUCUGAAACUGUCCGACUAGAGAUCGAAUGCAGCAGGCGGAAUGAGUAGUGUAGCGGUGAAAUGCAUAGAUAUUACGCAGAACACCGAUUGCGCAGGCAGCUUGCUAAUCCGCAUCUGACGCUGAUGCACGAAAGCGUGGGUAGCGAACAGGAUUAGAUACCCUUGUAGUC